rnacentral:rRNA from 1 species
AGCGUACACGGUGGAUGCCUAGGCAGUCAGAGGCGAUGAAGGGCGUGCUAAUCUGCGAAAAGCGUCGGUAAGGUGAUAUGAACCGUUACAACCGGCGAUACCCGAAUGGGGAAACCCAGUGUGUUUCGACACACUAUCAUGUCAUGAAUACAUAGUGGCAUGAGGCGAACCGGGGGAACUGAAACAUCUAAGUACCCCGAGGAAAAGAAAUCAACCGAGAUUCCCCCAGUAGCGGCGAGCGAACGGGGAGGAGCCCAGAACCUGAAUCGGCUUGUGUGUUAGUGGAAGCGUCUGGAAAGUCGCGCAGCAAAGGGUGAUAGCCCCGUACACUAAAAUGCACAGGUCGUGAGUUCGAUGAGUAGGGCGGGACACGUGACAUCCUGUCUGAAUAUGGGGGGACCAUCCUCCAAGGCUAAAUACUCCUGACUGACCGAUAGUGAACCAGUACCGUGAGGGAAAGGCGAAAAGAACCCCGGCGAGGGGAGUGAAAUAGAACCUGAAACCGUGUACGUACAAGCAGUGGGAGCACCUUCGUGGUGUGACUGCGUACCUUUUGUAUAAUGGGUCAGCGACUUAUAUUUUGUAGCAAGGUUAACCGUAUAGGGGAGCCGUAGGGAAACCGAGUCUUAACUGGGCGAAUAGUUGCAAGGUAUAGACCCGAAACCCGGUGAUCUAGCCAUGGGCAGGUUGAAGGUUGGGUAACACUAACUGGAGGACCGAACCGACUAAUGUUGAAAAAUUAGCGGAUGACUUGUGGCUGGGGGUGAAAGGCCAAUCAAACCGGGAGAUAGCUGGUUCUCCCCGAAAGCUAUUUAGGUAGCGCCUCGUGAACUCAUCUUCGGGGGUAGAGCACUGUUUCGGCUAGGGGGCCAUCCCGGCUUACCAAACCGAUGCAAACUCCGAAUACCGAAGAAUGUUAUCACGGGAGACACACGGCGGGUGCUAACGUCCGUCGUGAAGAGGGAAACAACCCAGACCGCCAGCUAAGGUCCCAAAGUCAUGGUUAAGUGGGAAACGAUGUGGGAAGGCAUAGACAGCCAGGAUGUUGGCUUAGAAGCAGCCAUCAUUUAAAGAAAGCGUAAUAGCUCACUGGUCGAGUCGGCCUGCGCGGAAGAUGUAACGGGGCUAAACCAUGCACCGAAGCUGCGGCAGCGACGCUUAGGCGUUGUUGGGUAGGGGAGCGUUCUGUAAGCCGUUGAAGGUGGCCUGUGAGGGUUGCUGGAGGUAUCAGAAGUGCGAAUGCUGACAUAAGUAACGAUAAAGCGGGUGAAAAGCCCGCUCGCCGGAAGACCAAGGGUUCCUGUCCAACGUUAAUCGGGGCAGGGUGAGUCGACCCCUAAGGCGAGGCUGAAAAGCGUAGUCGAUGGGAAACAGGUUAAUAUUCCUGUACUUGGUGUUACUGCGAAGGGGGGACGGAGAAGGCUAGGCUAGCCGGGCGACGGUUGUCCCGGUUUAAGCGUGUAGGGGGUGUGACCUGGUAAAUCCGGUUGCAUAUCAACCCUGAGGCGUGAUGACGAUGCACUACGGUGCAGAAGUAGUUGAUGCCCUGCUUCCAGGAAAAGCCUCUAAGCUCUAGGUAACAUUAAAUCGUACCCCAAACCGACACAGGUGGUCAGGUAGAGAAUACCAAGGCGCUUGAGAGAACUCGGGUGAAGGAACUAGGCAAAAUGGUGCCGUAACUUCGGGAGAAGGCACGCUGGCAUGUAGGUGAAGUCCCUUGCGGAUGGAGCUGAAGCCAGUCGAAGAUACCAGCUGGCUGCAACUGUUUAAUAAAAACACAGCACUGUGCAAACACGAAAGUGGACGUAUACGGUGUGACGCCUGCCCGGUGCUGGAAGGUUAAUUGAUGGGGUCAGCCGCAAGGCGAAGCUCUUGAUCGAAGCCCCAGUAAACGGCGGCCGUAACUAUAACGGUCCUAAGGUAGCGAAAUUCCUUGUCGGGUAAGUUCCGACCUGCACGAAUGGCGUAAUGAUGGCCAGGCUGUCUCCACCCGAGACUCAGUGAAAUUGAACUCGCUGUGAAGAUGCAGUGUACCCGCGGCAAGACGGAAAGACCCCGUGAACCUUUACUAUAGCUUGACACUGAACAUUGAGCCUUGAUGUGUAGGAUAGGUGGGAGGCUUUGAAGCGUGGACGCCAGUCUGCGUGGAGCCAUCCUUGAAAUACCACCCUUUAAUGUUUGAUGUUCUAACUCGGCCCCAUAAUCUGGGGUGAGGACAGUGUCUGGUGGGUAGUUUGACUGGGGCGGUCUCCUCCCAAAGAGUAACGGAGGAGCACGAAGGUUAGCUAAUCACGGUCGGACAUCGUGAGGUUAGUGCAAAGGCAUAAGCUAGCUUGACUGCGAGAGUGACGGCUCGAGCAGGUACGAAAGUAGGUCUUAGUGAUCCGGUGGUUCUGAAUGGAAGGGCCAUCGCUCAACGGAUAAAAGGUACUCCGGGGAUAACAGGCUGAUACCGCCCAAGAGUUCAUAUCGACGGCGGUGUUUGGCACCUCGAUGUCGGCUCAUCACAUCCUGGGGCUGAAGUAGGUCCCAAGGGUAUGGCUGUUCGCCAUUUAAAGUGGUACGCGAGCUGGGUUUAGAACGUCGUGAGACAGUUCGGUCCCUAUCUGCCGUGGGCGUUGGAAGAUUGAGAGGGGUUGCUCCUAGUACGAGAGGACCGGAGUGAACGCACCACUGGUGUUCGGGUUGUCAUGCCAAUGGCAUUGCCCGGUAGCUAAGUGCGGAAAAGAUAAGCGCUGAAAGCAUCUAAGCGCGAAACUUGCCUCAAGAUGAGUCUUCCCUGGGCCUUUAAGGUCCCUGAAGGAACGUUUAAGACUAAGACGUUGA